rnacentral:tRNA from 1 species
GGCUUCGUAGCUCAGCUGGUAGAGCGCUUGCCGCGUAGAGGCACGGUGUUUCUGUCGGUGGUUCGAAUCCAGCCGAAGCCC